CCACAGGAGGCGACAGGUGUGGCAUCAGGACAGGCCAGAGACGCCGGCGUUCACAUGAAGGAGUGGUCUGCUGGAGGCCCGUAAGAGAAGCCUGGGAAGGCUCCAGCCGCUUCCUUGACGCUGCUGGUCACAGUCAGGGUGUCAGUGCACAGGGAGGAGGACACGGGAAGAUCUGCGCAUGUGUUGGUCCACCACCUUCCUGCUUCAGCAUUAUUCAGCCAAUUCCUGACUGCUAAGUCAACUCUGUGGAUGGGAAGGACAAAUAACAUGCGAGAAGGAGGCCAGAGGAGUGGAGUCCGUUACGUAACAUCCAGGGAGGAGAGGCUCCAAAGAAAGAAGCCCCACGGCGGAGAUGAGCUCUGACCUGCAGGUGCAGCCGCUGUCGGAGGGACCGUCUGUUUCGGGCUGCCUGACCCUGCAUACGAGUUUAGCACGUCAGAAAUGAGCGAUUAACCCAGAAAACCUAUCACCGUAUCUCACAUUGCCACACAUCCCGCAGACAACCGAGGGUAUUUUUUUUGAAGCGGUCGACGUACAGCGGUGAGACUCACCAUCUUCUCGUCGCCUCAUCGAGAUGGGGUGGACCCAAGGCUUCCUUUUGUUCCUCUCUUAAGAAGCAUGACAAGCAAAAUAUCAUCAUCCCUGCCUGAAGGCAAAAAAAGAAACACAAAAACAACAUGAAGAACUGCAUAAUUUCAUUUUGGGCUUGGUGUCCGUUGUUCCUCUGGGGAAUUUGCAACAAAUGUGCAACAGCGUUGAGUGUGAGCUGUGAGCACUGCAACCAAAGAUCGGUUUUUCCGUCCUGGAUUGUUUAAUUUGAAGGAUUUUUGGAGGCCUGACGGGUUGAAAACGUCCAGUAUUUCACAAGGAAAUGCUAAAAUUAGAAAAAAGGCAGAAAUAUAAAAAGGAACAUGUGUAAAAGAAAUAUUUUUAUUUGCCUUCUUAAUUCAUCAUCAUAGAAACCCCUCAGGAAUGGAGCCAGGCUGGGAACCACUGCU